rnacentral:rRNA from 1 species
AGUGAACGCUGGCGGCAGGCCUAACACAUGCAAGUCGAACGGCAGCACAGUAAGAGCUUGCUCUUACGGGUGGCGAGUGGCGGACGGGUGAGGAAUACAUCGGAAUCUACUUUUUCGUGGGGGAUAACGUAGGGAAACUUACGCUAAUACCGCAUACGACCUACGGGUGAAAGCAGGGGAUCUUCGGACCUUGCGCGAUUGAAUGAGCCGAUGUCGGAUUAGCUAGUUGGCGGGGUAAAGGCCCACCAAGGCGACGAUACGUAGCUGGUCUGAGAGGAUGAUCGGCCACACUGGAACUGAGACACGGUCCAGACUCCUACGGGAGGCAGCAGUGGGGAAUAUUGGGCAAUGGGCGCAAGCCUGAUCCAGCCAUACCGCGUGGGUGAAGAAGGCCUUCGGGUUGUAAAGCCCUUUUGUUGGGAAAGAAAAGCAGCAGGUUAAUACGCCGCUGUUCUGACGGUACCCAAAGAAUAAGCACCGGCUAACUACGUG